rnacentral:lncRNA from 8 species
AGGAGGUGUCUUUGUGUUCUGCUCCCCCCAAAGUGCUGGGUUAGGCCAACCAGGAGCCCCGCUAGCAGGUUGAAGUGCUGGGUUAGUCCAACCAGGAGCCCCACUAGCAGGUUGAAGUGCUGGGUUAGACCAACCAGGAGCCCCACUAGCAGGUUGAAGUGCUGGGUUAGACCAACCAGGAGCCCCGCUAGCAGGUUGAAGUGCUGGGUUAGACCAACCAGGAGCCCCACUAGCAGGUUGAAGUGCUGGGUUAGGCCAACCAGGAGCCCCACUAGCAGGUUGAAGUGCUGGGUUAGUCCAACCAGGAGCCCCACUAGCAGGUUGAAGUGCUGGGUUAGACCAACCAGGAGCCCCACUAGCAGGUUGAAGUGCUGGGUUAGACCAACCAGGAGUCCCACUAGCAGGUUGAAGUGCUGGGUUAGACCAACCUGGAGCCCCGCUAGCAGGUUGAAGUGCUGGGUUAGACCAACCAGGAGCCCCGCUAGCAGGUUGAAGUGCUGGGUUAGACCAACCAGGAGCCCCGCUAGCAGGUUGAAGUGCUGGGUUAGACCAACCAGGAGCCCCACUAGCAGGUUGAAGUGCUGGGUUAGACCAACCAGGAGUCCCACUAGCAGGUUGAAGUGCUGGGUUAGACCAACCAGGAGCCCCACUAGCAGGUUGAAGUGCUGGGUUAGACCAACCAGGAGUCCCACUAGCAGGUUGAAGUGCUGGGUUAGUCCAACCAGGAGCCCCACUAGCAGGUUGAAGUGCUGGGUUAGUCCAACCAGGAGCCACGCUAGCAGGUUGAAGUGCUGGGUUAGACCAACCAGGAGUCCCGCUAGCAGGUUGAAGUGCUGGGUUAGACCAACCAGGAGUCCCACUAGCAGGUUGAAGUGCUGGGUUAGUCCAACCAGGAGCCCCACUAGCAGGUUGAAGUGCUGGGUUAGACCAACCAGGAGCCCCGCUAGCAGGUUGAAGUGCUGGGUUAGACCAACCAGGAGUCCCACUAGCAGGUUGAAGUGCUGGGUUAGACCAACCAGGAGCCCCACUAGCAGGUUGAAGUGCUGGGUUAGACCAACCAGGAGUCCCACUAGCAGGUUGAAGUGCUGGGUUAGUCCAACCAGGAGUCCCACUAGCAGGUUGAAGUGCUGGGUUAGACCAACCAGGAGCCCCGCUAGCAGGUUGAAGUGCUGGGUUAGACCAACCAGGAGCCCCGCUAGCAGGUUGAAGUGCUGGGUUAGACCAACCAGGAGUCCCACUAGCAGGUUGAAGUGCUGGGUUAGACCAACCAGGAGCCCCGCUAGCAGGUUGAAGUGCUGGGUUAGACCAACCAGGAGCCCCGCUAGCAGGUUGAAGUGCUGGGUUAGACCAACCAGGAGUCCCACUAGCAGGUUGAAGUGCUGGGUUAGACCAACCAGGAGCCCCACUAGCAGGUUGAAGUGCUGGGUUAGUCCAACCAGGAGUCCCACUAGCAGGUUGAAGUGCUGGGUUAGACCAACCAGGAGCCCCGCUAGCAGGUUGAAGUGCUGGGUUAGACCAACCAGGAGCCCCGCUAGCAGGUUGAAGUGCUGGGUUAGACCAACCAGGAGCCCCGCUAGCAGGUUGAAGUGCUGGGUUAGACCAACCAGGAGUCCCACUAGCAGGUUGAAGUGCUGGGUUAGACCAACCAGGAGCCCCGCUAGCAGGUUGAAGUGCUGGGUUAGACCAACCAGGAGUCCCACUAGCAGGUUGAAGUGCUGGGUUAGGCUAACCAGAAGCCAUUUCUUGGACCUUCGGGGACACUAG